CACCAACCAUGAGGAGGUUGGAAAAAUGUCAGACCAUGGUCCCUGGGGGCUGGCUCCCCUCACAGGGACAUCUGGCCUCAACGCGACCAGCUUAGCCUGGAUCAACAGCCUCCAUGACUGGAGAGAAGACCCCCCAAACUCAAGAGCAUCUCGAUAUAGUUGCCAGUGCUCUACCUAGUCAGUUAUGAUGGAGCCUGAUGAUGUGAGAAAAAAGAAUGUGUACACGUAUGCGUGACUGGGUCACCUUGCUGUGCAGUAGAAAAUCGACAGAACGCUGUAAACCAGCUAUCAUGGAAAAAAAUAAAAAUCAUUAUUAAAAAAUAGAAUACCAUAAAAUAAAUUAUUUCGAACUAAAAAAAAAAAAAAAAAAGACGCAUCUCUGAGUAAGGGUCACUGGGACCUCGUGAAUGGGGCCAGCAGGACCUCCCAGAAAAGAGGCAUCACCAAGAGGCUUCUCCAGCCCUGCUUGGCUGAGUCACCCAUGGUGUCCUUCCCUUGCACGUCCUGACCCACCCAGGCCAGAGUCCAUCUGGAUGCAGUGGGCAACCCAGGGGACCCUCAGAUUCAGACUGCCGAGCUUCAAAAUCCUCACUCCUGGAAUUGUCUUUAAGCUUAGCAGGUUAAGGAUCCAGCACUGUCACUACAGUGGUGCAGGUGGCUGCUGUGGUGCAGGUGGCUGCUCUAGCGCAGUUUCUAUCUAUAAGAUGAGAAAAAUAAAAGUUCUGACCUCACAAAAUUGUUCAUGAGGAUUAAAUGAGUUAAUAUUUGGGGACCAUGCCUAGAACAUAGGAAGUAUUACCUUGCUAACCAAAACUGCAGUAGUCACCAACAAUUUGUUAAGCCUUUGCCUGAUAAUAGUCACCACCAAUCUGUUAAGCCUUUGCUAGGUUGCAGGCAUGUGAGCACUGCAGCAACCCCAGAUAUGGGUCCUUUUACUCUCCCAGCACUUCAGAUGCAAACAGAGGCUUGGGGAGGCGAAGGAUGCAACCCAACGUCACCCAGGUCAGAGGUAACAGAGCCAGAGGUCAAAGCCAGACUCUGAUUCCAGAGCCAGUGCUUCUGAACAUUGAACAAAGACUGACUUAGCCCCCACAGGGGUCUCAGUCACUCUUUUUUGGAUGGUUAGAUGGAGGACAUUCCACAGAGAAGGAUGGUCAAAGGAAGGAAUCUAAAAUUAGCAACCAGAGGCGUGGCCAUGAGAAGAGGCUUCGGACAAUGGGGGUAUAGAGACCAUGGCUUCUGGGUCUUGUCUUCUGAGCUGAAACCCAGUCUCCUCCAGGACAGGAGACAAGCUGUGCUUCUCCUGUGCUCCCUUCAUAUGGAUGAAUGCCUGAGCCCUCAACAAUGGGCCCCAGCAAAUCCCCCAUCUCCAGCUACCCCUCCUAGGAUCUCAGUGGCCAGAGUUGACCAAAAGGAGUCCAUCAACACCUUACAUGCAACUGAUCAUCACGCCAAGGCAGUGCUCCAUGAUUAGCUUGCAUAGUCCAAAGGAAGCCAAGGAACUGGUGACUCUACAUCCCAGCCUGAUCUCAGACUUCCAUCUCAGAGACCCUACAGAGAAGGGGAGAGGCGGGUACAGGUUCCCCAAAUUCAGUGCCCAGAAUGUUGAGCUAAAGACAAGGCAGACUCAGGGAGCAAGGCAGAGAUGUAGCUACAGGGCUGCUGAGGCUCUCUGACCUACAAUUCACUUGGUUUUUUAAUUCAGAAAAGGCAUCUAAAAGGAAACCCUCAUCAGUGAAGGUAUUGAUCUAUAGAGGGAAAAAGCAUCAAGUCAAUUGUGCUAGAUAACGCAAAUUUAUUUUUAAAUGUUAGACAGUAGAGAAGGCAGUGGAUUAGACAUAAUUACUAUAUAAUUUGACUUGAAAUUAAGUCCAUUUAAGAGACAUGCAUUGCACACGGCAAAACACAAGGUGGAGAAGAGAGGAGGGAGCUGCAGAAAAACACAGGACGCAGACCCUGGACUUUCCGCUCCCUCCACCCCAGUGACCUUACAGUGGUCAAAGCCAAGGCUUUGAGAAUUGAGGAUCGUACAUGGAGAGAGAUGCAGCAAGCCCUCAUGAUCGGGCUUAAUGAAACCAGAAGCGGUGGUUUCUUUUUAAGAAAGAGGCCUGGUGUUUCACCUCCUCUGCUUUCUGUAUGAAAACCCACAUUAAGUUAUUCAGAAAACUCAGAGUUGAUUGCUUGGUCCAUGGAAUAGACAGGCUAUUUGAUUUUUUUUUUAACCUAAGAAAAAUUAAUUCAGUGUUUGUUGACUGCCUACCGUGGGCUAGGUACCAUGCUGAGUUCUGAGUGGAUGCUGAUGGGAAGAGGACCCCUCCCUGCCCUCACGAAACCUGCAGUGUACAGGCUCACCCACAACCCGGGCCAGACAGAACCUUUUUUUUGGCCAUACCCAUGGCAUGUGGAAAUUCCCCAGCCAGGCAUCAAACCCACGCCACAGCAUCUACCCAAGCCACCACUGCGACAAUGCCAAAUCCUUAACAAGAGAACUCUGAGACAGAGCUUCAUUGCAGCUGUGAGAUGUGCCACCAAGGACAUCUCCUGUAAAUAGACAGCUGAGCUCACUUAGCCCGUGUGCCCAGUGCUUCUGUGAGGAGAGGGUGUUUAAACCAGGAGAGGGGGCAGGACAAGGUUGGAUUAACCAGCAAAGAGGAGAGCAGACAACUUUCCAGGCAGAGGAACAGCAGGUCCAGGGCCUUGUGUUGGGAAGAAGAGGCCCUAAAAGGAAGCCAGCAUGCUGUGAGCAGAGACUGGGACACAUGGACGUAUUGAAGGAGCAAGCAGUGCAGAAACUAGGUCCUAGAAGCAGCCUUUCAAAGAAAAAGGGCCCGCUGUGGACUUUGGGACUGAUCUUCGAAGGAGUAAGAGGCUGUCAAGGGGUUUCAGGAUGGGGGAGUGAUUCCAUCUGUAUUUUUUUGGGGGGGUUACACCUAUGGCAUAUGGAAGUUCCUCGGUCAGGUAUUGAACCUGCACCACAGCAGUGACCAUGCCAAAUCCUUAAUCCACUGAGCCACUAGGGAACUCCCAUCUGUAUUUUCAAAAAAAAAAUCUCUCUAGCUUCUGAGUGGCGAGAGAAUUGGAAUGGAAGAUGUGGGGAGGCCAUAGGAGGUGACUGCUGGAGUCUAGAUGAGAGAUGAUGGUGGCUUGGCAAGGGUUGGGGCACUAGAGAGGAAGAAAAACAUACCAAUUCGGGGUCUGUUUAUGAGGUGGGAUAGGUAGGACCUGGUGACUGGCUGGCUGGUAAGGAGCAGGAUGGUGUCAAGGCAGUCCUUCAGGCUUCUGGAGGGGCAGCUGGUGGCUUGUGGUGGCAUUUACAUUGAUGGAGUGUGCUGGAUGAAAGCUAAAAUAAGAAGAAUGGUCCAGGCCAAAGACGAGGAUACUCCCAUGUAACAAAUAAAAGAGACGAACACCAACAAGAAAUGGGGAAAGGAAAGCAAACUUGUGCUUCCCAAAAGCAGACGUGCAAAUGGCCAAGACACAUAGAAAAAGAUAUUCAACUGAUAUCUGAAAGUUGCAGAUUAAAACAACCAGGCUCCAUUUCUUUAUUGCAUUGACGCAGGUAAAAGAGCAUGCUAAUGCCUAGUAUUACUGAGAGCGCGAGGAACUGGCCUGCCUGUAUGUGCUGCUAGUGGAUAUUGAAAUUGAUAUGGUGUGGGGAGGGGGAGCAAGUAUAAUUAAUAGAAAUGUUUAAAAAUUCAGUUCAGGAGUUCCCGUCGUGGCACAGCGGUUAAUGAAUCCGACUAGGAACCAUGGGGUUGCAGGUUCGAUCCCUGCCCUCGCUCAGUGGGUUAACCAUCUGGCGUUGCCGUGAGCUGUGGUGUAGGUUGCA
ensembl:lncRNA